UUGGGCCCCAAGUAUACUGAUAAGUUGGGGUCAGGUUUCCAGGAGUAGUGCAAGACAUAUGGUGAAAAUUAUUGUUUGGGGCAGUUGAUUUAUUGGCAUAACCAAGCUAAUGCUGAUCCAGAUUGCAGCCUAGGGAGGGCGAGAAGGGGUUGUUUGUUGUUGCUUGAUAUUGCCUCCUAUGCCAAGGUUCAGAAGCCAUCGCAUCGUUAACGUGUCUAUGGCCCAAGAACCCUCAGAUUUGUGCUUGCAAGAAUUCUUGAUGGAAAUCAUGCAAAAGAUCCUGAUGGAAAGAUCCCUCAUAAAUUCCAUAUAUAUGACCUUGCAUUUGUGGUAUGCGGAUAUUGAUAAAAUAACACUUAUCCGUUGAGCUACAAACCUGGGUCCCUAUUCUUGAGUCUUUUGUUUUUUGGGGCAAAGCUGAAAACUUUGUUCACAUUAAGAAAGGUCAAAUAGAUCUACCACUGGGAAUACCUAUAAUGUCAGGCAAUAUCUGCAGUGCUUUGGGAGGGCUCAUCCGGGAAGCCCAAAGUAAACAAAAAAGAUUCAUUUACAUCAAUGAAAAGCUUAUAUAAAAGAUUGUUAGCCUUAUUGGAUUCCCUUGAUAUGUAUUCAAUUAUUAAUAUAUAGUUCAAAACAUUAUUUUCUCUUCUAGAUUCUGGUCUUUGAGUUUGAGCCAGCCAGAUUUCUUGGAGACUCGAUGCUUUUACCAUUUAUUCUAAAGGCUAGUAGAUAAAUAAUCGACUCUUAAUUUUUGUACAGGAACUUACGUUCUUAUAAUUACUUCUCGUAAGGAAGUUGGCAGCUAUCUUGGUUUUCCCAUUUUCCGGGUGAUGUCUGAGUUUCUAUCGUGCAAUGAUGCUUUGCAGCUUUCAACUGCUCAAGAAAGAAUGUGCAUAUAUGAUUUUGAAAUUCCAGAAGGCUGCUGCAAGGGGACCAUUGAAAGUAACAUAUGAAAAAUACUUGCAUCCUGAUCAAAGUAGUGUUGCAGCAAUAGAAGCAAUUGACAGGCUUCCUCCGUGACAUCAAGUCCUAUAGGAGCUCAGAUUAUGACACAAUGCGGUACAAUGAGGACAUGAAAUUCAGGAAGAUGGCAUUGGGCAGGCAGGAGUACAUUAGACUUUCUUUCCCUCAUAAGAAUAUAUGGAUCUUGAGUUUAUAAGAAGAGAGAAAAUGCGAAGAAAAGAUUCACUUGCAGAUCAAAUCCGGGCUGCCAAAAGCAAAAGAGUGGAAUGUGUAGCAGUCACACACUCUUUGGUUCAGACCCUACUGAAUUUUUGUACAAACCAAGAAAUUAUCAAAUUGAAAAUAAGAUCUAUUUGUGAUUCAAAUUGUUUGAAUGGAGAAUGACUUUUUAAAUUUUAUUGUAA